rnacentral:tRNA from 1 species
GAGGGUAUAGCUCAGCCAUAGAGUGCAUGCUUAGUAUGCAUGAGGUCCCAGGUUCAAUUCCCAGUACUGCCA